UACGAAGGGGGCUAGCGUUGCUCGGAAUCACUGGGCGUAAAGCGCACGUAGGCGGUUUGUUAAGUCAGGGGUGAAAUCCUGGAGCUCAACUCCAGAACUGCCUUUGAUACUGGCGAUCUUGAGUCCGGGAGAGGUGAGUGGAACUGCGAGUGUAGAGGUGAAAUUCGUAGAUAUUCGCAAGAACACCAGUGGCGCAGGCGGCUCACUGGCCCGGUACUGACGCUGAGGUGCGAAAGCGUGGGGAGCAAACAGG
rnacentral:rRNA from 1 species